rnacentral:rRNA from 1 species
AACGAACGUUGGCGGCGUGCUUAACACAUGCAAGUCGAGCGGUGGGUAGCAAUACCUGCAGCGGCGGACGGGUGAGUAACACGUGAGAACCUGUCCUGGAGCUCGGAAUAACCUACCGAAAGGUGGGCUAAGGCCGGAUAGUGCCGAGAGGCGGAAAGGAAACACUCCGGGAGGGGCUCGCGGCCCAUCAGGUAGUUGGCGGGGUAAUGGCCUACCAAGGCGACGAUCUUUAGCUCGUCUGAGAGGAUGAUCAGCCACACUGGGACUGAGACACGGCCCAGACUCCUACGGGAGGCAGCAGUGGGGAAUAUUGGACAAUGGGCGAAAGCCUGAUCCAGCAAUGCCGCGUGAGUGAUGAAGGCCUUAGGGUUGUAAAGCUCUUUUACCAGGGAUGAUAAUGACAGUACCUGGAGAAUAAGCUCCGGCUAACUCCGUG